rnacentral:rRNA from 1 species
AUGCUUCCAGAAGUUUCCAGACGAGGGCGCCGCCCCGAGAUGGCCCCGGCCUCCGCCUCCGCCUCCGUGGCCCCUCCCGUCGGCGCGCGCUGCGCCGUUUGCGGCGGCGUCGACAUCUCCGUCCCCCACCAGGCCAACUGCUCCCACUGGUUCUGCGGACAUUGCAUCGUGGGGGUGUGGCUACAGGGAUCUGUCCUUCGGCCAUCCAAUUGCCCUAUUUGCCGUCGCCCCAUAACGCUGCUGGUACCUUCUGAAGUUGCUUCCCUGCUGCGUGAUGAGCCAGAAAUCGCUCCUGUCAUGAACCGAAUUCAGCAGUACAAUGGCCGUUUUGCUGGAGUACCUCACAGUAUGAUUCAGUGGUUGCUGGACCAGCCCUUUUACAUGAGGAGAAUGCUGGCAGAAUUCAGAGACACACGCCAAGAACCUCCCUCCUUCAAAAUCCAAGUCGCAUUGGCAGCCACCCUCGCUCUGGUGUACCUCGCGAGCCCUAUUGACCUUUUCCCUGAAGCUUUCCUGGGGUACCGUGGUCUGCUGGACGACAUCCUGGUGCUCAUCGUCGCGUACGCCUUCAUCUCCGCCGCCUACCGGGACAUCCUCGUUGCCCGACACGCCACGUGA